rnacentral:rRNA from 1 species
GACGAACGCUGGCGGCGUGCCUAAUACAUGCAAGUGGGACGCAAGGAAACACACUGUGCUUGCACACCGUGUUUUCUUGAGUCGCGAACGGGUGAGUAACGCGUAGGUAACCUGCCUAUUAGCGGGGGAUAACUAUUGGAAACGAUAGCUAAUACCGCAUAAUAUUAAUUAUUGCAUGAUAAUUGAUUGAAAGAUGCAAGCGCAUCACUAGUAGAUGGACCUGCGUUGUAUUAGCUAGUUGGUAAGGUAAGAGCUUACCAAGGCGACGAUACAUAGCCGACCUGAGAGGGUGAUCGGCCACACUGGGACUGAGACACGGCCCAGACUCCUACGGGAGGCAGCAGUAGGGAAUCUUCGGCAAUGGACGAAAGUCUGACCGAGCAACGCCGCGUGAGUGAAGAAGGUUUUCGGAUCGUAAAGCUCUGUUGUAAGUCAAGAACGUGUGUGAGAGUGGAAAGUUCACACAGUGACGGAGCUACCAGAA